GGACUGGUAGCUGAGACGGUGUAGCACCUGUCUGAAGAGCAGGGGACGAGGAUUCGAGCGCCUCCCAGUCCACUA
rnacentral:tRNA from 1 species